rnacentral:rRNA from 1 species
GAUGAACGCUGGCGGCGUGCCUAAUACAUGCAAGUCGAGCGAACGGACGAGAAGCUUGCUUCUCUGAUGUUAGCGGCGGACGGGCGAGUAACACGUGGAUAACCUACCUAUAAGACUGGGAUAACUUCGGGAAACCGGAGCUAAUACCGGAUGAUAUUUUGAACCGCAUGGUUCAAAAGUGAAAGACGGUCUUGCUGUCACUUAUAGAUGGAUCCGCGCUGCAUUAGCUAGUUGGUAAGGUAACGGCUUACCAAGGCAACGAUGCAUAGCCGACCUGAGAGGGUGAUCGGCCACACUGGAACUGAGACACGGUCCAGACUCCUACGGGAGGCAGCAGUAGGGAAUCUUCCGCAAUGGGCGAAAGCCUGACGGAGCAACGUCGCGUGAGUGAUGAAGGUCUUCGGAUCGUAAAACUCUGUUAUUAGGGAAGAACAUAUGUGUAAGUAACUGUGCACAUCUUGACGGUACCUAAUCAGAAAGCCACGGCUAACUACGUG